GGAAGGAAUUACCACGUGGUGAUGAUGGUGGUCACAAUAGCUGUGACCUCACCUAGCAACAGAGCACAACCCAGCAAAGGCAGCGGCUCCGGGAGCCUGCUUCUUCUUUGGUGGCAGUAACCUUGUGUCACGAAACAGAGCGAGAGAGAGAGAGAGAGAGAGAGAGAGAGAGAGAGAGAGAGAGAGAGAGAGAGAGAGAGAGAGAGAAAGAGAACGAGAGACCUCACGGUUUACGUUCGCCGUGCCGGGAACGGUCUAGAAUCGCGUGCCACCGCGUGGUCUGCAUGCGGUUGCCGUUGACUCAGCGCUGACCUUGAAAACCCCUGAUUUGAAGUACCAUUUGAACAGGAGCCAGCAGGCGAGAGGGGGGUAUACAGGUACCGGCUCCUACAACUAGCUGAUAGUGUAUGAUAUCAUUCGCAUGAAAUUAAAAAGCAAGCACAAGCGUGCGGGCACAGGAACUCAAAUCAGCGUGUAAUCAGUUCGGCAAACGUGCGAAAUAGGCGUCUAUAAAUAGAUUUUAAUGUCAAGCGAGUUUAGGGUUGCGCGUCGAAUGACAACCCGCCGUACACAGGCACGGACGCACGCACACACACACAGGCAUGCCUGCAUUAACCGUCAGACGACCUGGUGCUAAGGUGAUUAGCUGAAGAAGGCAGUAAAAAAACACACACUCGGCAGCUUAGUCACAGUAGGCAAUGAUGCGUGCAAAAGCCGUUCAGCGCGCGUUUAUGUAUUAGUAGGUCGCAGUGUAAUUUUGCACGUACGCCGCCGCGGUGUAAUGUACGCACGCAUACAUCUGCCGGUAAGUGGUAGUGUGUGUGUGUGUUGUUUUUCGAUAGUGUCGUGCCUCCGGCGAUAACGUAAUGAAGAGGGAAGGUUUGAGUCAUUAUCAGCCCGCAAGAAGUAAUCGAGCGUGCGCGCGCGAUUUUACAGCAAAACGGCUGUUGUUUUCUGUGCGGUUUUUACGUCUGUGUGUUUUUUGGUUGUUGUUUCCUUGUUGUUGAUUGUGGUACACCCAUACAGUGGAAGAAAUGGUGGAGUACGUGAGCGAACGCAUCUCCGCCCGUAGUAGCAGCUCUCCCUGACCUUCGCACAGUGCUGACGGAAUGCGAAGUAAGAGUAAGACAAGAUCAAAUUUCCUGCUACAGCCGCUGAAACGGCAAGGAAAUUGGUUCUUCCCAACGGAAGGAUUUCAGCUUCAUUAACACUGUGCGUGCUUGCACUAGCCUUCCCCAACCUACCCUAAAGAGCCAGCCGGUGCACGAAAAUAUGAAGGUCACCUUUCCUUGUCGCAGCAGAGUGAAUGGUUUUUGUUUUGUGGUAAAGGUUUGAAACGUACAGCUUAGUAGAAAUUCCCAAUAUACAGAAUUCUGUUAUUCUUUGAAUCUUAAAAUUUUAGAUUAUAGAUUUAUAGAAAUUGGACGAAUAAAAAACGAUCUAAACUAGAUUUUAGUAAAUGCACCUCGCUGAGCUGUAAUUAACACAUUUACUUAAUAAAAUCACGCUUUAAAGUACGGAGAAGAUGGUAUCAUACAUAUCACAAAAAAUUUAAAAACUACAUAAUGGUGAAUUCCAGAAGAUUAUUAUAUUAUUGUUGUUAUAUUUAAUCCGAAAGUUAUCCA